UCCCCGAAGGUCCCAAAAAACAGCAUUUUCAAACUUAGCCAAAUUUUCAGCUCUUUCACCGUUUUCGCUCGUUUUCGCUCGUUUUCGCUCGUUUGACCUCCGAUUCUUUUCAAAUCGAACCGAAACUCUCCAAACAUAUUUUCGAGCAUGUUUUCAUCAUCUUUUCAUCCCCGCUAAUGCCGGAUUUAGUUCAUGGUCCGACAUAGCCUUUCAGGUCCCGUUUCCGCGCCUACGCGCACCGAAUCGCCCGGAUGCCUCUGAACUUCACCGAACUUCACCGGAACCCUUCAAAUGGCUCUCUAACCAAAUGUACACCGU
rnacentral:lncRNA from 1 species